AUAUAUAUAUAUAUAUAUAUAUAUAUAUAUAGUGUUUCUCUCACACCGUCGAAGUCAUGUGGUGCUAUUUGGACCCCAGAUAUCAAAUGUAUAUUUGAAAGUUGGCGUAGCGCUUGAAGCCUCCUUCACCUCCGCCGCGGCUUGGCCCGGUAUUUCACUACCUCUGGGUUCAGCCCACGCAUU